rnacentral:rRNA from 1 species
AAUCAACGCUGGCGGCGUGCCUCAGACAUGCAAGUCGAACGAUUAAAGCUCUCUUCGGAGAGUGCAUAGAGUGGCGCACGGGUGAGUAACACGUAAGUAAUCUACCUUCGAGUGGGGAAUAACGUCCGGAAACGGACGCUAAUACCGCAUAAUGCAGCGGCAUCGCAAGAUGACAGUUGUUAAAGGAGCAAUUCGCUUGAAGAGGAGCUUGCGGCAGAUUAGCUAGUUGGUAAGGUAAUGGCUUACCAAGGCUACGAUCUGUAACCGGUCUUAGAGGACGGUCGGUCACACUGACACUGAAUAACGGGUCAGACUCCUACGGGAGGCAGCAGUCGGGAAUUUUGGGCAAUGGGCGAAAGCCUGACCCAGCAACGCCGCGUGAAGGAUGAAGUAUUUCGGUAUGUAAACUUCGAAAGAAUGGGAAGAAUCAAUGACGGUACCAUUUAUAAGGUCCGGCUAACUACGUGCCAGCCGCCGUAGU